rnacentral:rRNA from 1 species
GUUGCAGGGUAUAGACCCGAAACCCGGUGAUCUAGCCAUGGGCAGGUUGAAGGUUGGGUAACACUAACUGGAGGACCGAACCGACUAAUGUUGAAAAAUUAGCGGAUGACUUGUGGCUGGGGGUGAAAGGCCAAUCAAACCGGGAGAUAGCUGGUUCUCCCCGAAAGCUAUUUAGGUAGCGCCUCGUGAAUUCAUCUCCGGGGGUAGAGCACUGUUUCGGCAAGGGGGUCAUCCCGACUUACCAACCCGAUGCAAACUGCGAAUACCGGAGAAUGUUAUCACGGGAGACACACGGCGGGUGCUAACGUCCGUCGUGAAGAGGGAAACAACCCAGACCGCCAGCUAAGGUCCCAAAGUCAUGGUUAAGUGGGAAACGAUGUGGGAAGGCCCAGACAGCCAGGAUGUUGGCUUAGAAGCAGCCAUCAUUUAAAGAAAGCGUAAUAGCUCACUGGUCGAGUCGGCCUGCGCGGAAGAUGUAACGGGGCUAAACCAUGCACCGAAGCUGCGGCAGCGACACUAUGUGUUGUUGGGUAGGGGAGCGUUCUGUAAGCCUGUGAAGGUGGCCUGUGAGGGUUGCUGGAGGUAUCAGAAGUGCGAAUGCUGACAUAAGUAACGAUAAAGCGGGUGAAAAGCCCGCUCGCCGGAAGACCAAGGGUUCCUGUCCAACGUUAAUCGGGGCAGGGUGAGUCGACCCCUAAGGCGAGGCCGAAAGGCGUAGUCGAUGGGAAACAGGUUAAUAUUCCUGUACUUGGUGUUACUGCGAAGGGGGGACGGAGAAGGCUAUGUUGGCCGGGCGACGGUUGUCCCGGUUUAAGCGUGUAGGCUGGUUUUCCAGGCAAAUCCGGAAAAUCAAGGCUGAGGCGUGAUGACGAGGCACUACGGUGCUGAAGCGACAAAUGCCCUGCUUCCAGGAAAAGCCUCUAAGCAUCAGGUAACAUCAAAUCGUACCCCAAACCGACACAGGUGGUCAGGUAGAGAAUACCAAGGCGCUUGAGAGAACUCGGGUGAAGGAACUAGGCAAAAUGGUGCCGUAACUUCGGGAGAAGGCACGCUGAUAUGUAGGUGAAGCGACUUGCUCGUGGAGCUGAAAUCAGUCGAAGAUACCAGCUGGCUGCAACUGUUUAUUAAAAACACAGCACUGUGCAAACACGAAAGUGGACGUAUACGGUGUGACGCCUGCCCGGUGCCGGAAGGUUAAUUGAUGGGGUUAGCGGUAACGCGAAGCUCUUGAUCGAAGCCCCGGUAAACGGCGGCCGUAACUAUAACGGUCCUAAGGUAGCGAAAUUCCUUGUCGGGUAAGUUCCGACCUGCACGAAUGGCGUAAUGAUGGCCAGGCUGUCUCCACCCGAGACUCAGUGAAAUUGAACUCGCUGUGAAGAUGCAGUGUACCCGCGGCAAGACGGAAAGACCCCGUGAACCUUUACUAUAGCUUGACACUGAACAUUGAGCCUUGAUGUGUAGGAUAGGUGGGAGGCUUUGAAGUGUGGACGCCAGUCUGCAUGGAGCCGACCUUGAAAUACCACCCUUUAAUGUUUGAUGUUCUAACGUGGGCCCCUUACCGGGGUUGCGGACAGUGUCUGGUGGGUAGUUUGACUGGGGCGGUCUCCUCCUAAAGAGUAACGGAGGAGCACGAAGGUUGGCUAAUCCUGGUCGGACAUCAGGAGGUUAGUGCAAUGGCAUAAGCCAGCUUGACUGCGAGCGUGACGGCGCGAGCAGGUGCGAAAGCAGGUCAUAGUGAUCCGGUGGUUCUGAAUGGAAGGGCCAUCGCUCAACGGAUAAAAGGUACUCCGGGGAUAACAGGCUGAUACCGCCCAAGAGUUCAUAUCGACGGCGGUGUUUGGCACCUCGAUGUCGGCUCAUCACAUCCUGGGGCUGAAGUAGGUCCCAAGGGUAUGGCUGUUCGCCAUUUAAAGUGGUACGCGAGCUGGGUUUAGAACGUCGUGAGACAGUUCGGUCCCUAUCUGCCGUGGGCGCUGGAGAACUGAGGGGGGCUGCUCCUAGUACGAGAGGACCGGAGUGGACGCAUCACUGGUGUUCGGGUUGUCAUGCCAAUGGCACUGCCCGGUAGCUAAAUGCGGAAGAGAUAAGUGCUGAAAGCAUCUAAGCACGAAACUUGCCCCGAGAUGAGUUCUCCCUGACUCCUUGAGAGUCCUGAAGGAACGUUGAAGACGACGACGUUGAUAGGCCGGGUGUGUAAGCGCAGCGAUGCGUUGAGCUAACCGGUACUAAUGAACCGUGAGGCUUAACCUU